rnacentral:rRNA from 1 species
GGGAAUAUUGGACAAUGGGGGAAACCCUGACCCAGCAAUACCGCGUGAGGGAUGAAGGUCUUCGGGUCGUAAACCUCUGUCAGUAGGAACGAUGGGUCUCAAGGUUAAUACCCUUGAGACUUGACGGUACCUACAAAGGAAGCCCCGGCUAACUCCGUGCCAGCAGCCGCGGUAAUACGAAGGGGGCUAGCGUUGCUCGGAAUCACUGGGCGUAAAGCGCACGUAGGCGGCUCUUUAAGUCAGGGGUGAAAUCCUGGAGCUCAACUCCAGAACUGCCUUUGAUACUGAGGAGCUCGAGUCCGGGAGAGGUGAGUGGAACUGCGAGUGUAGAGGUGAAAUUCGUAGAUAUUCGCAAGAACACCAGUGGCGAAGGCGGCUCACUGGCCCGGUACUGACGCUGAGGUGCGAAAGCGUGGGGAGCAAA